UUACGGCCAUAUAACGAUGAAACAUCGGUUCCUGCACGAUCACCGAAGUUAAGCUGCGUCGACCCUGGUUAGUACCUACAUGAGUGACCACUUAGGAAUAUCAGGUGUGGUAAG